AACCUUAUGGACCUGCGGGCGUAUACCUGCGGAAGGAUCAUUACUGAGUCACGUGCUCAAACAACCCUUCUGUGGACCUGAAAUAAAACCGUUGCCUCGGCGGGCGGUCCCCCCCAAACCAACCCCACGUGGUGGUUUAGGGGAGACCAGACAGUCCGGUACGCUUAAGGCGUCCGGCGCCAGCCGCUGGCCCCAAACAAUUAAACUCUAGUAAUCUUUACCUUCUGAAUUUCAAUAUUU
rnacentral:misc_RNA from 1 species